rnacentral:rRNA from 1 species
GAUGAACGCUGGCGGCGUGCCUAAUACAUGCAAGUCGAGCGAACGGACGAGAAGCUUGCUUCUCUGAUGUUAGCGGCGGACGGGUGAGUAACACGUGGAUAACCUACCUAUAAGACUGGGAUAGCUUCGGGAAACCGGAGCUAAUACCGGAUAAUAUUUUGAACCGCAUGGUUCAAAAGUGAAAGACGGUCUUGCUGUCACUUAUAGAUGGAUCCGCGCUGCAUUAGCUAGUUGGUAAGGUAACGGCUUACCAAGGCAACGAUGCAUAGCCGACCUGAGAGGGUGAUCGGCCACACUGGAACUGAGACACGGUCCAGACUCCUACGGGAGGCAGCAGUAGGGAAUCUUCCGCAAUGGGCGAAAGCCUGACGGAGCAACGCCGCGUGAGUGAUGAAGGUCUUCGGAUCGUAAAACUCUGUUAUUAGGGAAGAACAUAUGUGUAAGUAACUGUGCACAUCUUGACGGUACCUAAUCAGAAAGCCACGGCUAACUACGUGCCAGCAGCCGCGGUAAUACGUAGGUGGCAAGCGUUAUCCGGAAUUGUUGGGCGUAAAGCGCGCGUAGGCGGUUUUUUAAGUCUGAUGUGAAAGCCCACGGCUCAACCGUGGAGGGUCAUUGGAAACUGGAAAACUUGAGUGCAGAAGAGGAAAGUGGAAUUCCAUGUGUAGCGGUGAAAUGCGCAGAGAUAUGGAGGAACACCAGUGGCGAAGGCGACUUUCUGGUCUGUAACUGACGCUGAUGUGCGAAAGCGUGGGGAUCAAACAGGAUUAGAUACCCUGGUAGUCCACGCCGUAAACGAUGAGUGCUAAGUGUUAGGGGGUUUCCGCCCCUUAGUGCUGCAGCUAACGCAUUAAGCACUCCGCCUGGGGAGUACGACCGCAAGGUUGAAACUCAAAGGAAUUGACGGGGACCCGCACAAGCGGUGGAGCAUGUGGUUUAAUUCGAAGCAACGCGAAGAACCUUACCAAAUCUUGACAUCCUUUGACAACUCUAGAGAUAGAGCCUUCCUCUUCGGGGGACAAAGUGACAGGUGGUGCAUGGUUGUCGUCAGCUCGUGUCGUGAGAUGUUGGGUUAAGUCCCGCAACGAGCGCAACCCUUAAGCUUAGUUGCCAUCAUUAAGUUGGGCACUCUAAGCUGACUGCCGGUGACAAACCGGAGGAAGGUGGGGAUGACGUCAAAUCAUCAUGCCCCUUAUGAUUUGGGCUACACACGUGCUACAAUGGACAAUACAAAGGGCAGCGAAACCGCGAGGUCAAGCAAAUCCCAUAAAGUUGUUCUCAGUUCGGAUUGUAGUCUGCAACUCGACUACAUGAAGCUGGAAUCGCUAGUAAUCGUAGAUCAGCAUGCUACGGUGAAUACGUUCCCGGGUCU